rnacentral:misc_RNA from 1 species
UACAGAGGGUGCGAGCGUUAAUCGGAAUUACUGGGCGUAAAGGGCGCGUAGACGGCUAUGUAAGUUAGAUGUGAAAUCCCCGGGCUUAACCUGGGAAUGGCAUUUAAUACUGUAUAGCUAGAGUAGAGUAGAGGGAAGUAGAAUUUCCGGUGUAGCGGUGAAAUGCGUAGAUAUUGGAAAGAAUACCAGUGGCGAAGGCGGCUUUCUGGACUCAUACUGACGCUGAGGCGCGAAAGCAUGGGGAGCAAACAGG